rnacentral:rRNA from 1 species
ACGCUCGACACCUACGGGAGGCAGCAGUGGGGAAUAUUGCACAAUGGGGGAAACCCUGAUGCAGCGACGCCGCGUGAGUGAAGAAGUAUUUCGGUAUGUAAAGCUCUAUCAGCAGGGAAGAAAAUGACGGUACCUGACUAAGAAGCCCCGGCUAACUACGUGCCAGUAGCCGCGGUAAUCUGAGCGGGCUGGCAAGGC